AGGCAGGCAAUGAUGCACACUAUGCCUUGAUGCUUCUUCGAAAAUUGGGGAAACUUGAGAACUUGUUUGAAAGAGGAUGUGACACCAAAAAGGGAGAAAGCAUGAAUGGAAGUGGUCUGUACCUACCAAGGACAAGCCGCCUAACAAGUUCAAUUUGUUUGCUAACUUGCAAUGAUAAAGUGGUGCAACAAUGGAGCUUUGAGUCACAAAGUUUAUCUCUUAAUUACCAAGGGAUCUUUUUAUUUAUUUAUUUUUUUUUGAGGAAUCUUAUUAACAAAAGUUCCUGACAGUAACACUUUACUCUUUUUCACUUA